rnacentral:rRNA from 1 species
CGGAGGGUGCAAGCGUUAUCCGGAUUCACUGGGUUUAAAGGGUGUGUAGGCGGGCUGUUAAGUCAGUGGUGAAAUCUCAAGGCUCAACCUUGAAACUGCCAUUGAUACUAUCAGUCUUGAAUCUUGUUGAGGUAGGCGGAAUAUGUCAUGUAGCGGUGAAAUGCUUAGAUAUGACAUAGAACACCGAUUGCGAAGGCAGCUUACUAAGCAAGCAUUGACGCUGAGGCACGAAAGCGUGGGGAUCAAACAGGAUUAGAUACCCUGGUAGUCCACGCCCUAAACGAUGAUUACUCGACAUACGUGAUACACUAUGUGUGUCUGAGCGAAAGCAUUAAGUAAUCCACCUGGGAAGUACGUCCGCAAGGAUG